CCCGCGGCCGGCGGCUCUGGGGGCGGAGGCCCCGGGACCAGGGGCGGCCUGGCCUGACCUCGACCUCCGCCGCGGGCCCGACCGGCGAGUCCCACCGGGCCGGCGCAGGCCCGGGCCCGCAAGCCCCUCCCUCCACCUGUCCCCGCCCGGGCGCCCGGCUCGGGCUGCGCUCGCUCGCAGCGGCGGGGCCCGCAGGCGGCCAUGGCGGCGGGCGCCUGGGCCAGGCCGGCGCCGCGCUGGCUGAAGGCGCUGGGCGAGCCGCUGAGCGCGGCGCAGCUGCGGCGGCUAGAGGAACACCGCUACAGCGUCGCGGGCGUCUCGUUGCUUGAGCCGCCGCUGCAGCUCUACUGGACCUGGCUGCUCCAGUGGAUCCCGCUGUGGAUGGCCCCCAACUCCAUCACCCUCCUGGGCCUCGCCAUCAACCUGCUUACCACGCUCCUGCUCAUCUCUUACUGCCCCACGGUCACCGAGGAGGCACCGUACUGGACAUACCUUUUAUGUGCAUUAGGACUCUUUAUCUACCAGUCACUGGAUGCUAUUGAUGGGAAACAAGCCAGAAGAACAAAUUCUUGUUCUCCUUUAGGGGAACUUUUUGACCAUGGCUGUGACUCUCUUUCCACAGUUUUUAUGGCAGUUGGAGCUUCAAUUGCUGUUCGCUUAGGAACGUAUCCUGACUGGUUGUUUUUCUGCUGUUUUAUUGGGAUGUUCAUGUUUUAUUGUGCUCACUGGCAGACUUAUGUUUCAGGCGUGUUGAGGUUUGGAAAAGUGGAUGUAACUGAAAUUCAGGUAGCUUUAGUGAUCGUCUUUGUGUUGUCUACAUUUGGAGGAGCAACAAUGUGGGACUAUACGAUACCUGUCCUAGAAAUAAAAUUGAAGAUCUUACCAGUUCUCGGAGUAGUAGGUGGAGCAAUAUUUUCCUGUUCAAAUUAUUUCCAUGUUAUCUUCCAUGGUGGUGUUGGCAAGAAUGGAUCCACUAUAGCAGGUACCAGUGUCUUGUCACCUGGACUCCACAUAGGAAUAAUUAUUUUACUGGCAAUAAUGAUCUAUAAAAAGUCAGCAACUAAUCUGUUUGAAAAGCAUCCUUGUCUUUAUACCCUAAUGUUUGGAUGUGUCUUUGCUAAAAUCUCACAGAAAUUGGUGAUAGCUCACAUGACCAAAAGUGAACUGUAUCUUCAAGACACUGUCUUUCUUGGCCCAGGUCUUUUAUUUUUACACCAGUACUUUAAUAAUUUUGUAGACGAAUAUGUUGUUCUAUGGAUAGCAAUGGUCAUUUCUUCAUUUGAUAUGAUGAGGUACUUUAGUGCUUUGUGCCUGCAAAUUUCAAGACACCUUCAUCUAAGUAUCUUCAAGACUUCAUGUCAUCAAGCACCUGAACAGGUUCACAAGCAUAUUGACUAAUAGCCCAAGGAAAAGAGGAGAAGCAGUUAGGGGAACCUAGGAGUGAAGGGAAUCCCCUUUUUCAGGAGGUUCAAGUUAUUCCUUCAAAGAGUCAUCAGAAUAACAUGGACUGAAGAGACUUUCGAACAUUUGCCAUCUCUUGCUGCUGCUGUCAAAUGAAAGGAGAUAUUAAACAUUUGUUUAAUUUUUAGAUAAGUGUUAUACAUAUUUCAGCAAAUAAAAUAUUUCAAUGCUUACAAUAA